rnacentral:rRNA from 1 species
CCCUUAGAUGUUCUGGGCCGCACGCGCGCUACACUGUUCGACGCAGCGAGUCUUAACCUUGACCGAAAGGUUUGGGUAAUCUUCAGCAAAGUCGAACGUGAUGGGGAUCGAUCAUUGCAAUUAUUGAUCGUGAACGAGGAAUUCCUAGUAAGUGCAAGUCAUCAGCUUGCGCUGAUUACGUCCCUGCCCUUUGUACACACCGCCCGUCGCUACUACCGAUUGAAUGGUUUAGUGAGAUCUCUGGAUUGACGCUGGCUAGGGGGCGACCCUUGGCCAGGCUGUCGAGAAGCUGCUCAAACUUGAUCAUUUAGAGGAAGUAAAAGUCGUAACA